CUUUUUCACUCAUCUCAUUGCCUUGGUCACAAUUACAUCAACAUCAUCCUCUCUGCUCCUCUUUUCUUAUAUCCUGGGCCACCAAUGUAACAAACCACAUGCCAAACUGUCUCUCUUGUCCACACUUCUUCUCAUCUUCAUCGGAGGUUGAGCGUAAGAGAGAAGGAUGCAACUCAGUUCUGAGGCCUCUCAACGUUUUGCUCGGAUCUCUGCCCAUCUGCACUCCCCCAAUCUUCAGAAGAUGGAGGAGAGUUCCUUGGUAAGGCGUGAAAAUUGCCGGGCAAAAGGAGGGGCUCCUGGAUUUAAAGUGGCAAUCUUGGGUGCUGCAGGGGGAAUAGGCCAGCCCCUUGCUAUGCUGAUGAAGAUGAAUCCCCUGGUAUCUGUUCUUCAUCUCUACGAUGUUGUCAACUCACCAGGCGUCACUGCAGAUGUCGGCCAUAUGGACACUGGUGCAGUGGUACGUGGCUUUCUAGGUCAGCCACAAUUAGAGGGUGCACUAACAGGAAUGGACCUUGUGAUUAUUCCUGCUGGUAUCCCGAGGAAACCCGGAAUGACAAGAGAUGAUUUGUUUAAAAUCAAUGCUGGAAUUGUGAGGACACUGUGUGAAGGGGUUGCUAAAUGCUGUCCUCAUGCAAUUGUGAACUUGAUUAGCAAUCCGGUGAACUCUACUGUUCCUAUAGCGACAGAGGUUUUCAAGAAAGCUGGCACCUAUGAUCCCAAGCGUCUUUUGGGGGUGACCACUCUCGAUGUAUUAAGAGCUAAAACUUUUGUGGCAGAAGUGCUAGGAAUUGACCCCAGGGAAGUUGAUGUUCCUGUGGUUGGUGGUCAUGCAGGGGUUACCAUAUUACCUCUCUUGUCACAGGUUAAGCCUGCAUGCACCUUCACUGCGGAUGAAAGAAAUUAUCUAACCCAUCGCAUUCAGAAUGGAGGAACAGAAGUUGUUGAGGCAAAAGCUGGUGCUGGUUCUGCAACAUUGUCGAUGGUUGGUCUACUUGGCUUCAUAUUCUUGCAUAUGCUGCUGCCAAAUUUGCAGACGCAUGCUUGCGGGGAUUGAGAGGUGAUGCUGGCAUAGUGGAAUGUUCCUUUGUGGCUUCUCAGGUGACAGAACUACCAUUCUUUGCAUCAAAAGUACAAUUAGGUCGUGGUGGGGCUGAGGAAGUCUUCCCUCUUGGGCCACUGAGCGAGUAUGAAAGGUUUGGGUUGGAGAAGGCGAAAAAAGAGUUAGCAGAGAGCAUUCAUAAAGGAAUUUCUUUCAUUAGGAAGUGAUGGAAGGCAGGAAUAGGAGGCGACAAUUCUGCUCGUGUACUACUGCCUGUAUGUAUCAUGGAUGUGCUACUGGAAAGAUGAAUGCAGCAUUUUUGUUUCAAACAACCUUUGGUGCAGAAGAAACUUUUGAAUUCAACAGAAGAAAAAAUAAAGCAUAUCAUUAUUCAAAUAUUAAA